GACGAACGCUGGCGGCGUGCUUAACACAUGCAAGUCGAACGGAAAGGCCCCUUUGGGGGUCCUCGGGUGGCGAACGGGUGCGUAACACGUGAGUAACCUGCACUUGACUUCGGGAUAACUUCAGCAUACUGAGGCCAAUACCGGUUAGGAAUCCUUGCUGCAAGGGGGGGGUUGGAAAGCUUCGGCGGUUUUUGCUGGACUCGCGGCAUAUCAGCUUGUUGGUGCGGUAGUGGCUUACCAAGGCUGUGACGGGUAGCCGGCCUGAGGGGCCGACCGGCCACAUUGGGACCGAGGGACGGCCGAGACACCUACGGGAGGCAGCAGUGGGGAAUAUUGCACAAUAGGCGGAAGCCGGAUGAAGCAGGGCCGCGUGCGGGAUGACGGCCUUCGGGUUGUAAACCGCUUUCAGCAGGGGCGAUGCUUGUGGUGACGGUACCUGCAGAAGAAGCACCGGCUAACUACGUG
rnacentral:rRNA from 1 species